UCCUUUUUGGCCUUUAACCUUCCUCCACGUAAGGACACAGUGAACAAGGUGCCAUCUUGGAAACAAACAGCAGCCUUCACCAGACACCAGACCUUCUGGCACCUUGACCUUGCGCUUUCCAGCCUCCAGAACCGUGAGAAAUCAAUGUUUAUUGUUUAUAAAUUACCCAAUCUGUGGUAUUUUUUUAAAACAGCAUAAUGGGACUAAGACACCAUCAGAACUUGGGACCAAAAGAAUACUUUUGCCCUCUGAGAGCUGAUUCUUAACACAGAAUAAAAAUGAAGAAUUACUUUAAAGAGAUGGACUACCUCAAGGGACUAGAACUAUUGCCACUGAGGGCAGGUGAAAGUUCAGCCAACUCGGAACCCGGAGGCCCCACCUUACCUCCCUUUGUGAAGAGCCCAGAGCCUUUGUCCAAAGCUGCAUCACUUCCCACCCAGCCCUUCCUGAGCCAACUCCCCGAUGUCU
ensembl:lncRNA novel transcript